CUCCUAUUCAUCUUUGCCUCUCUGGAGUAAAGCACGGAGCUCAGAAAAUGUGUGAUGAGUGAAUGAAUGAUUUAGCAUCAGUUCGACCUUUCAAUGCCAGCAGCCCUGGUCGGUCUCUAAAAACUAUUCUUUUGUUUUAAGGCUUUUAAUUCUCCUGGAGAAUCGUUUCUCAGGGCUUCACUCCCACCUGAUCACUUGCCGUCAGUGCUGGGAUCCAGGGGACCGCCCCUCCCCUUUCCCACAUGCACCCCAGUUCAAACGGACUGAUAAGCAUAUCUAAGGGAGAUAGCUGAGCAAGAUAUUGCUGAAGCAAUAUCUAAUCUCUCAGAACGUCUUAUAUUACAACUCAGAGACAUGUCUUUUGAGACAUGAACAGACAACUAAGUCAGGCCACCUGAACGUUCUAUUACUAUGGCAUUGACAGGUAGACAAGUGGAUGAGUCGUCGGGCUAUGGGAUGAUGUCUGAGCACCUUUGUCAGAUCACCAGGUCCCGGAGGUGGGGGUUAUGUAUAACUGAGAGUCAGCUGCCAGGUAACACCUCGGCCUUCCUACUGGAAAUCCUUCCUGUGGGAUGGGUCCAUGAAGCUUCUUCUGCAUGUGAAACCUGGAAAGAGAGAGACACGGUCUCAGUUGCUUCCUCAAAGUGCUCACAGACACCAUUCUUGGAGGCAGAAUUCAGGUCAGUUUCUAUCUCCAGAUCUUCCUAUCACAAGAAAUUGGAUUUCAGCUCUGGUUUUCUCCAUGGGACACAGCACAAACAUUGGAUUGGGGGUCACCUUCUGACUUAAAUCACUUCUUGUCUCAUCAUGAAAGGUGAGCAGCUUGACCUUCACAGCAGAAGGGACUGGUGACAAGUCAGGAAACCUGAGCGAACUUCCCAAGGACCUAACCCUUGGGAAGAGGUUAAGGCUUUAACAAGGAAAACAAAGAAACAACUCAAUAGCAGGCAAUAGGACAGCGUUUAAUUGAGAUAUGGUUUGAAUAUUAAAAAAAAAUCUGGUGGGGCCACAGUGUUCAUAGAAAAGAAUUGCUCCUGUGGUCAAGGUGGCCAAGAGAAGGCUCUCAGAAUCAGAUCUCAGAUGGGAUGGAAGACAAGAUGUGGAAGAAAUUAGUGGGGUUUUCUUGAUACUUAAAAGGUGACCUUGUUUCCAAGAUUGUUGAUAACGGUGUUUUGGUUCCAUUAUCUCCCAUCUCGCUGCCCCAACCCCACUGUUUUUGUCUGGAGGCUGCAUGUGUUGGCGCAGAGUUAUUCCCAUUGGCCUCAGAGCCCAGUUACUCAUUCAAAAAUAUUUAUUGAAAGCCUUGUACAUGCCAGGUAUGUUCUAGUUGCUGCAGAGACCAAAACAACCACAGAGCUUGUGGCCUCUUCAAGGAAAGACAGACAAUAAACAAUGAACAAAUAAAUAAAUGAACUAGUAC
rnacentral:lncRNA from 1 species